UACGUAGGGUGCGAGCGUUAAUCGGAAUUACUGGGCGUAAAGAGUGCGUAGGCGGUUUCUCAAGUCCGCUGUGAAAUCCCCGGGCUCAACCUGGGAACUGCGGUUGAAACUGGCGAACUAGAAUCUGGCAGAGGGGGGUGGAAUUCCACGUGUAGCAGUGAAAUGCGUAGAGAUGUGGAGGAACACCGAUGGCGAAGGCAGCCCCCUGGGCUGAGAUUGACGCUCAGGCACGAAAGCGUGGGGAGCAAACAGG
rnacentral:rRNA from 1 species